rnacentral:rRNA from 1 species
UACAGAGGGGGCAAGCGUUGUUCGGAAUUACUGGGCGUAAAGGGCUCGUAGGUGGCCAACUAAGUCAGACGUGAAAUCCCUCGGCUUAACCGGGGAACUGCGUCUGAUACUGGAUGGCUUGAGUUCGGGAGAGGGAUGCGGAAUUCCAGGUGUAGCGGUGAAAUGCGUAGAUAUCUGGAGGAACACCGGUGGCGAAGGCGGCAUCCUGGACCGGCACUGACACUGAGGAGCGAAAGCCAGGGGAGCAAACGGG